rnacentral:rRNA from 1 species
ACGGGGGCAGCAGUGGGGAAUAUUGCACAAUGGGGGAAACCCUGAUGCAGCAACGCCGCGUGAGUGAUGAAGUAUUUCGGUAUGUAAAGCUCUAUCAGCAGGGAAGAUAAUGACGGUACCUGACUAAGAAGCACCGGCUAAAUACGUGCCAGCAGCCGCGGUAAUACGUAUGGUGCAAGCGUUAUCCGGAUUUACUGGGUGUAAAGGGUGCGUAGGCGGCAUGGUAAGUCAGAUGUGAAAGACCGGGGCUCAACUCCGGGGCUGCAUUUGAAACUGCCAGGCUUGAGUACAGGAGAGGCAGGCGGAAUUCCUAGUGUAGCGGUGAAAUGCGUAGAUAUUAGGAGGAACACCAGUGGCGAAGGCGGCCUGCUGGACUGAAACUGACGCUGAGGCACGAAAGCGUGGGGAGCAAACAGGAUUAGAUACCCUGGUA